UACGGAGGGUGCGAGCGUUGUCCGGAAUCACUGGGCGUAAAGGGCGCGUAGGCGGCGCGGAAAGUCAACGGUGAAAGCUUGGGGCUCAACCCCGAGUCGGCCGUCGAUACUUCCGUGCUCGAGCACUGUAGAGGCAGGUGGAAUUCCGGGUGUAGCGGUGGAAUGCGUAGAGAUCCGGAAGAACACCGGUGGCGAAGGCGGCCUGCUGGGCAGUAGCUGACGCUGAGACGCGAAAGCGUGGGGAGCAAACAGG
rnacentral:rRNA from 1 species